CGGAGCUAACCCUUGCUCCUACGUCCACUCCCCAAGCCUCACUUGGGAAUUCACUAUAACCCCUCGGAUUACAGCCGGUUGUUUUACAAGCUCACAACCAAACUUGUUGUUUUACGAGGUCACAACGAACUCGGUCGGUUUUCCCAGGCUCACCGACUAGAACCACCCCGAUUGUUUUCCCGGGAUCACAAUCGAACCCUUACACGUUGGUUUCAACCUAGGCUCACCAACAAACCUAUAUACCCUUGAUUCAGUCCCCUGAUUGAAUCAAGUAAG
rnacentral:lncRNA from 1 species